rnacentral:rRNA from 1 species
GGGAAUUUUGCGCAAUGGGGGAAACCCUGACGCAGCAACGCCGCGUGGAGGAUGAAGUCUCUUGGGACGUAAACUCCUUUCGAUCGGGACGAUAAUGACGGUACCGAUAGAAGAAGCCCCGGCUAACUUCGUGCCAGCAGCCGCGGUAAUACGAGGGGGGCAAGCGUUGUUCGGAAUUAUUGGGCGUAAAGGGUGCGUAGGCGGCCCCGCAAGUCCUGUGUGAAAUCUACAAGCUUAACUUGUAGCCUGCACGGGAAACUGCUGGGCUGGAGUAUGGGAGAGGUGAGUGGAAUUCCUGGUGUAGCGGUGAAAUGCGUAGAUAUCAGGAGGAACACCUGUGGCGAAAGCGGCUCACUGGACCAUAACUGACGCUGAGGCACGAAAGCUAGGGGAGCAAAC